rnacentral:lncRNA from 1 species
GUUGAUGCCCAACGCUGCAUGACAGUAGGUACCUGUGACCUCAACUCUUGAAGGUGGAAGCCUGAGGAUCAGAAGUUCAAGGUCAUCGUCAACUAUACAGCAAGUUUGAGACCAGCAUGCGCCACACAAGAACUUGUCACUAAAUAAAUAAGCAAGUAAAAAGAAGACCUUCCUGUGCAGUGUCUCCCACUGUUCCCUCAGGGUCCCAAUCCCAGGAGACUUUGGCAGGAUGUGACCAGGAAGUGUCCACUGGAAGAAAGGCAUGGCUCCUUCAAGUAUGGCAUGUUCUGAUAGGUGUGCAAAGAUGUUUGUUACAGCAUCAUGUGAACAUAACAUUAGUAAAGAAAAAAGAAACAGAAGUGUCCCACUGUAGUGAGAGGGGCUUUAUAGCUCAUGAUGUGUACGCACUAGGAACGUCUGUGCAGUCUGGGAAAAAGCGAGUGGAUAUGUAUAUGCAGAUACAGGGAGGGGUCACUAGUACACUACACGCUCAGUGUGGCCGUCCAUGCUCAGAACCCGAACACUUGGGAGCCUGAAGCAGGCAGAUGAGAAUGAAGCCAGCCUGGGCUUCACAGUAAAAGUCUGAAAAGAAAAAGAGAAAGAGAAAAGAAGGAAGGGAUGGAAGAGAGAAAGCAAAGGAGAGCAUAAAGUACAAUACUCAGCCCAGGAUCAUACAGAAGUGUUAUUGAUGUGCGCAGAGCCUUGUGAAUUCCAUUUCACAUGGAUCUAUCAGAGAUGGCAAUCAGCACGCACUUGUGGCAGUGUCAGAGAGGACGUCCUGCCACUCAGGACCUCACAGGACAAUAUAUGAAAUCACAGUUCUUUUCCUCUAUGCUUGCCCCAGGCCCCUCCUCCCCUGCCUUGCUGGCAGGCGGGCAGGUGCCAGGAAGUGGCCUGCACCUGCGUGGUGGGCUGAGGUUGCAGGUCAUCACCAGCUUCCCAUCCCUUAACCAACUAACAAAUUAGACCCCAAACCCAAGGCUUGGAACAGCCAAAGGAAGAAGGGGGAGGGGAGGACCCUAAAGCUCCUCCCACCUAGAAUUAAGUGAGCUGCGACAUGUGCUGGAUGCAUGUAUUUCUCCUUCAAGGCGUAAUUGCUGUGCAAGGUCCUGGGACAAUGCUGUCUCUGACAUUCUUUCUAAGUCAGAGAUGUUGGCAGCUUGCUGGGGAAUGAGUUUGGAGCCUCAGAACACCCAUGAAGCCACUGGUCACAGAAGAGAUAUCUGGAAUGGCAUGAAGCAGGGAAGGAAGGAUGAUCAGUUCUCAGGCGCCAUCUUCCCAGUGCGUCUGAAGCAUCCGUCUGUUAUGGUGGAAUCAGGGGUGAUGUCAGAUGGAAGGAGACUGGGACCACGGGUCUCUGCCAGGGCCAGCCUGUGACCUGUGAUUAAUGAGAGAUGGAAUGUUUACUUUCACCCUUGACUGUUUGUCACUGGUGUCGCGGGCUUCUAGGGAUAGUGAUUUUUCUGCACGGUCUAUUUAUGGCUCUGUCUCCACACUUACUCAUUUCUCCAUCCAGACAAGGACAAAGGUGGAAGUGGCGUCUUCCUGCUGUGACGCUUGUAGGCAGUGACCGUGCACGCUGCGGGAAUAUUGCAGACUUGCUACCCUUUAGUCCCUGUAUGGCUGGGCCUUGGGGGGUCUUUCCUCCUCAUUCCGGCUUGAGAGAAAAUGAGGAAAGGGCAAUGGUGGGGACCCCAGCACUACCCCUAUGUUGGUUAGUUUUGGUCGGUUUGAUACAAGCUAGGGCCCUCAAUCAAGGAACCGCCUCCAUUAGAUUGGACUGUAGGCAAAGCUGUAGGACAUUUGGGGGGCGGGGCUGAUGUGAUUGAUGUGUGGGCCCAACCCAUUGUGGGUGGUGCCACGCCUGGGCAGAUGGUCUUGGGUUGCACAAAAAAAAAAAGCAAGUAGCUCCAUGAGUAGCUCCAGUAAGCGGCAAUCUUCAAUGGCCUCUGUUUGAGUUCCUGCUCUAAGAACUGUGAGCUGAAAUAAACCCUUUUCGCUACAAGUUGCUUUUGCCCGUGGUGUUUAAUCACAGCAAUAGAAACCCAACCUAAGACACCACCCAUGUCUGAAAUGUGGCCUUGGCCAAGAGAACGUGACCACCUGCCUUGACCUCUCUAGUUGAGCACUAUGGCCUCCUCAAUAUGAAGAGUAAUCAUGCCAGCCUCUCUGGACUACCAUGGGAUCUCUGGAAGAGAUGGGGUCCUAGCAGGCAGAACUUACUAAUGAUUGCAUUUGGUGUUGUUUUGUUUUUUAUCACUUGCUUUAGUUAUUUUUCUGGUGUUCUUAUAAAAUGAGAAGAGCAACUUAAAGAAGAGGAAAAGUUGUCUUAGCUCACUGUCCAAGAUAGUCUAGGCGGCAGGAACCUGAAGCAGCUGGUUGUGUGCCAUCCACAGUCAGAAGAGGCAAAUGAAUGCUACAUCUCAGCUCAUUCCACUUACACAAUUCAGGACCCCUAGCACAGGGAAUGGUGCCACCCACAGUGGGUGGGUCAUUCCACCUUAGUUAAUGCUGUCACGAUAAUUAAUUCCCAUGGCGUGCCUAGAGGUCCAUCUCCCAGGAGAUUCUGGACUCUAUCAGGUUGACAGUGUUAACCAUCACUUUACCAUUGUAAACAUCCAGAAGAUACAGUCAAUGACCAGUAUUGCUAGAAUCCCUAGAGACCCUCAUCUACAGAAGGGGAACAUGAGGCCCAUGGCACAAAGCCACAACGUACAUAUAUGGACAGAGACCACUGGAAAGGCUGGUCAGGAGACCUGACUCUGUGAUCUCAUGAAGCUCAGAUAAGUAGGGAGCCCAACGAUGGGCAACCAGCGGUAGAAGGAGAAACAAGAGUCAGGAGCGAGCACUCUAGGCAGGCAAGACAGGCUAGAUCUGGAAAUGCAAGUGAAAAGGAGACAGACAGGCCCAUGGCCAGCUUCUGGAGUCCUUUGUUCAUCCAGGUGACUCCUUGUAAAAGCCACUCAGGGCAGAUGUUAUUACCCCUCCUUUAUAGAUGAAGAGGCUUGGAUAUAG